AUGCAAAGAAGUUUAGAACACAUCAAAUUUUAUUUAAUUAGAGCGAUAUGCAACCCUUUCAAAUGAUUGUAUAAAGUUGUAAGACGGUGAAAGAAAUUGCAUGAAAAUAUUUUGUUUGCAUUGUACUCUAUUGUUCUAUUUCCUCCAUAUAUUUGAUGUUUUGAAAGGAAUUGAAGUUAUGCAACAAAAGUUAUAUAACUGCAAAUAUAAUGUUAGAUUCGAGUGAUAUAUAGAAUGGUUGACAAAUAUUUAAGUUAAAAAAAAAUCGAGGAAAGAAAAUAGGAAUGAAUACAAAUAUUGUUGAAGAAAAAUAGAGAAGAAUGAAGAUGUGUAAACUAAAAG
rnacentral:lncRNA from 1 species